rnacentral:sRNA from 1 species
AAAUGGUCGACCCCGACGCCGGCCUGGUCAAGAAUCUU